rnacentral:rRNA from 1 species
AGUCGAGCGGACAGAUGGGAGCUUGCUCCCUGAUGUUAGCGGCGGACGGGUGAGUAACACGUGGGUAACCUGCCUGUAAGACUGGGAUAACUCCGGGAAACCGGGGCUAAUACCGGAUGGUUGUCUGAACCGCAUGGUUCAGACAUAAAAGGUGGCUUCGGCUACCACUUACAGAUGGACCCGCGGCGCAUUAGCUAGUUGGUGAGGUAACGGCUCACCAAGGCGACGAUGCGUAGCCGACCUGAGAGGGUGAUCGGCCACACUGGGACUGAGACACGGCCCAGACUCCUACGGGAGGCAGCAGUAGGGAAUCUUCCGCAAUGGACGAAAGUCUGACGGAGCAACGCCGCGUGAGUGAUGAAGGUUUUCGGAUCGUAAAGCUCUGUUGUUAGGGAAGAACAAGUGCCGUUCAAAUAGGGCGGCACCUUGACGGUACCUAACCAGAAAGCCACGGCUAACUACGUGCCAGCAGCCGCGGUAAUACGUAGGUGGCAAGCGUUGUCCGGAAUUAUUGGGCGUAAAGGGCUCGCAGGCGGUUUCUUAAGUCUGAUGUGAAAGCCCCCGGCUCAACCGGGGAGGGUCAUUGGAAACUGGGGAACUUGAGUGCAGAAGAGGAGAGUGGAAUUCCACGUGUAGCGGUGAAAUGCGUAGAGAUGUGGAGGAACACCAGUGGCGAAGGCGACUCUCUGGUCUGUAACUGACGCUGAGGAGCGAAAGCGUGGGGAGCGAACAGGAUUAGAUACCCUGGUAGUCCACGCCGUAAACGAUGAGUGCUAAGUGUUAGGGGGGUUUCCGCCCCUUAGUGCUGCAGCUAACGCAUUAAGCACUCCGCC